UGAGGAAUAUUGGUCAAUGGUCGGGAGACUGAACCAGCCAAGCCGCGUGAGGGAUGAAGGUACAGAGUAUCGUAAACCUCUUUUGUCAGGGAACAAAAGGCGCCACGUGUGGCGCUCCGAGUGUACCUGAAGAAAAAGCAUCGGCUAACUCCGUGCCAGCAGCCGCGGUAAUACGGAGGAUGCGAGCGUUAUCCAGAUUUAUUGGGUUUAAAGGGUGCGUAGGCGGCGAGUUAAGUCAGCGGUAAAAGCCCGGGGCUCAACCCGGCCGCCGUGCAAUCUGGCAUUGCUUGAUGUGGUAGAGAAGAUAGGCGGAAUGCGCGGUGUAGCGGUGAAAUGCUUAGAUAUCGCGCAGAACUCCGAUUGCGAAGGCAGCCUACCGGCUCCACACUGACGCUGAGGCACGAAAGCGUGGGUAUCGAACAGGAUUAGAUACCC
rnacentral:rRNA from 1 species